ACCAAUCGCGCCCGCUCCGACGUGUCCAGGUCCGCGGCCCCGGGAGCUUGGCGCGGCCCGGCCUGGAUGCUCUGGGCGGAGGGUGCAGGGGAGGGCACGGCGCCGCUUGCUUGGCCUGCGCACCCGGACCUAGAAGCCGGGACGAGCCGGGGGAGAGCCAGGCGCGCGGAAGUCUGAAGGUGCCCUCCAGACACGGCCCCGAUGACUGAACUACAGCAAGAUGUGGAAGACACAAAGCCUGCGAAAGUGCUCGGGAAGAGGGAGAGCAAACUUGGCUCAGCCCACUACCUCUCUCUGAAUGUCUAAAAUGAAGCGGUUUCCUUUCUUCAGCUCAGAGGCUGAGAAUGGUGUGGAGGAGAAAAAGAAAGCCUGCAGGUCGCCAACAGCCCAAUCCCCUACCCCAUCUGUGGAGGCCGAGUCCCCAGACCAGAAGAAAAUCAUUAGCCUACGGUCAAAAUCCAGUUUUGAUGGUGCCUCUUUAGCAAGUGAUAAGAACGACUGUAAAACAGAAAGCAAAAAUGACCCUAAGACUGAAAGAAAAAAGUCUUCAUCUUCCAGCCAGUACAAGGCCAAUAUGCACUUUCACAAGUUGUUUCUUAGUGUCCCAACGGAGGAACCACUGAAGCAAA
rnacentral:sRNA from 1 species